GCUUACGGCCAUACCCCUGAACACGCCCGAUCUCGUCUGAUCUCGGAAGCUAAGCAGGGUCGGGCCUGGUCAGUACUUGGAUGGGAGACCGCCUGGGAAUACCAGGUGCUGUAAGCU
ensembl:rRNA 5S_rRNA 5S ribosomal RNA